rnacentral:tRNA from 1 species
GUGGUUGUGGCUCAGUGGUAGAGCGCUCGCCUAGCACGUGUGAGGCACUGGGUUCCAUCCUCAGCACCACA